UACAGAGGUGGCAAGCGUUGUUCGGAUUUACUGGGCGUAAAGGGCGCGUAGGCGGCGUGACAAGUCACUUGUGAAAUCUCCGGGCUUAACUCGGAACGGUCAAGUGAUACUGUCGUGCUAGAGUACAGAAGGGGCAACUGGAAUUCUCGGUGUAGCGGUGAAAUGCGUAGAUAUCAGGAGGAACACCGGUGGCGAAGGCGGGUCUCUGGGCCGAUACUGACGCUGAGGAGCGAAAGCGUGGGGAGCGAACAGG
rnacentral:rRNA from 1 species